GACAGAGGGUGCAAACGUUGUUCGGAAUUACUGGGCGUAAAGCGCGUGUAGGCGGCCCUGCAAGUCGGGUGUGAAAUCCCAGGGCUCAACCAUGGAAGUGCACUCGAAACUGCAGGGCUAGAGUCCUGGAGAGGAAGGUGGAAUGCUUGGUGUAGAGGUGAAAUUCGUAGAUAUCAAGCGGAACACCGGUGGCGAAGGCGGCCUUCUGGACGAGUACUGACGCUGAGACGCGAAAGCGUGGGUAGCAAACAGG
rnacentral:rRNA from 1 species